rnacentral:rRNA from 1 species
GAACGGUAACAGGAAGCAGCUUGCUGUUUCGCUGACGAGUGGCGGACGGGUGAGUAAUGUCUGGGAAACUGCCUGAUGGAGGGGGAUAACUACUGGAAACGGUAGCUAAUACCGCAUAACGUCGCAAGACCAAAGAGGGGGACCUUCGGGCCUCUUGCCAUCGGAUGUGCCCAGAUGGGAUUAGCUAGUAGGUGGGGUAACGGCUCACCUAGGCGACGAUCCCUAGCUGGUCUGAGAGGAUGACCAGCCACACUGGAACUGAGACACGGUCCAGACUCCUACGGGAGGCAGCAGUGGGGAAUAUUGCACAAUGGGCGCAAGCCUGAUGCAGCCAUGCCGCGUGUAUGAAGAAGGCCUUCGGGUUGUAAAGUACUUUCAGCGGGGAGGAA